AGAUUAAGUUAUUAAGGGCGCACGGUGGAUGCCUUGGCACUAGAAGCCGAUGAAGGACGUUACUAACGACGAUAUGCUUUGGGGAGCUGUAAGU
rnacentral:rRNA from 3 species